GGGCGUGUAGCUCAGCUUGGAUAGAGCGACAGCCUUCUAAGCUGAAGGUCGGGAGUUCAAAUCUUCCCACGCCCA
rnacentral:tRNA from 1 species